AUGACCUUACUUGAACAUGAUCUGUUUUAUAGAUUUGUACCUUUGUAUCCUUGAGUUCUAAGAAGACAAGAAACCAAGUCUGGUGGAUGACAAAUGCUCGCCUAAUCAGAGCAUGAUUAAUAGCCCUAUGGCCUGUUAGGGGUCAUCAUGGCAGUAGAGGAUCGUUCUUGGUCGAUUUUACUCGGCUGGGAUAGUUAGGCGGUUGUCUGACAGGC
rnacentral:snoRNA from 1 species